GACGGAGGGUGCUAGCGUUGUUCGGAAUUACUGGGCGUAAAGGGUGCGUAGGCGGCACCGCAAGUCAUGGGUGAAAGCCCGGGGCUCAACCCCGGAAUUGCCCGUGAAACUGCGGCGCUCGAGGCCGAGAGAGGGGGGUGGAAUACCCAGUGUAGAGGUGAAAUUCGUAGAUAUUGGGUGGAACACCGGUGGCGAAAGCGGCCCCCUGGCUCGGUCCUGACGCUGAGGCACGAAAGCGUGGGGAGCAAACAGG
rnacentral:rRNA from 1 species